GAUGUCGGCCCGUCGCAUCCUGGGGGUGAAGAAGCUCCCAAGGGUUUGGCUGUUCGCCAAUUAAAGCGGCACGCGAGCUGGGUUCAGAACGUCGUAAGACAGUUCGGUCUCCUAUCUGUCGCGGGCGUAAAGAUUUGAGGGGGCGCUUCCCUAGUACGAGAGGACCGGGAAGCACGAACCUCUGGUGUACCAGUUGUUCCACCAGGAGCAUUGCUGGGUAGCUACGUUCGGUUAGGAUAAGCGCUGAAAGCAUCUAAGCGCGAAGCCGUCCCCAAGAUUAGAUCUUAGAAAUCCUUCAAGAUUAGAAGGUUGAUAGGCUCUAGGUGGAAGCUCCGCAAGGAGUGUAGCCGAGGAGUACUAAUCAU
rnacentral:rRNA from 1 species